UGAUGAAAGGCCAAGAUUUUUAAAUUUGACAAUGUGUGUAGGAUUCUCACGAGUGUGCGCAUAGAUGGCAUUAAAUAAGUUUUGGGCCAUGAUUUGCGUCGGAUGGGCCACGAGAUACGACGCAAAUCAUAAGGUGCGCGUUCAGGGUUUAUUUCCAAAUCCUCACUUCCUCCCGCUGUUUUCUCACACUUUAAAACCCCACCUUCAUCUCUCUGACUCUCACACUUCAGAACUCCACCUCAUCUCUAUUUCGCAUCUCAUCUCUGUUUCGCAUCUUAUCUCUCUCUCACCUAUCUUCUCAUCUCUCUUUCAAAUUUCAACAACGAAGUGCGUUCGCGGUGUUCUAUGGCGAAUGUGGCGGUUUUCCAGCAAAGAGAGGAGAGAGACAGUGAGCAAAGCAGAAGGAAGAAAGUGCGACAAAUGGUGGUGAAGCGGGAAAAAUAGAUCUUUGGUUUAAGGAUGGGAUUCGACAGAGGAGCAGCGAGCGACGACAAUUCGACCUCAGACGAGUGCAACGACAUUCGAACCUUCGGUGGUUAUCAAAAGGGUUGGAGAUCUGAGUAGUGUUCAAACAGAUUGACUUUUUUUUAAUAUAAAAUGGAUGAUUUGCGUCACACAAAGACAAAUAUGCGACGCAGGGGUGCUGUUGGUGCUGGGGUUCAAGGGUCAUGUGCGUCGGACUAUGCAGUACAUUCGAAGUAAAUAGCACAAAAUUUGCGCCGCGUUCUGAUCCGACGCACAUCACAUCACUCGAAUUUGCGUCGAGUGUUGUGGCGUCGGACCGAUGUCUGACGCAAAUGGUGGUCACAUGUCCAACGCAAAUUAUUAAUUCUGUACUAGUGAAUAUAGCAUGCAAUGUUUACACCUUCCCUCCAAAAACUCUUAGGGAGACCACAUUCAAUAAGUAUCGUCCUCGUCAUCUCCUCUAGAGUUUUAUUAUUUCUUUUAACUACACCAUUUUUUUGUGGUGUUUUGGGGGCAUAAAAGUUGUAACUUACCCCAUGCUCUCUACACAAUUCAAUAAAAGCUUGAAUUAUUAAA